GACGAACGCUGGCGGCGUGCUUAACACAUGCAAGUCGAACGGAAAGGCCCUGCUUUUGUGGGGUGCUCGAGUGGCGAACGGGUGAGUAACACGUGAGUAACCUGCCCUUGACUUUGGGAUAACUUCAGGAAACUGGGGCUAAUACCGGAUAGGAGCUCCUGCUGCAUGGUGGGGGUUGGAAAGUUUCGGCGGUUGGGGAUGGACUCGCGGCUUAUCAGCUUGUUGGUGGGGUAGUGGCUUACCAAGGCUUUGACGGGUAGCCGGCCUGAGAGGGUGACCGGCCACAUUGGGACUGAGAGACGGCCCAGACGCCUACGGGAGGCAGCAGUGGGGAAUAUUGCACAAUGGGCGGAAGCCUGAUGCAGCAACGCCGCGUGCGGGAUGACGGCCUUCGGGUUGUAAACCGCCUUCGCAUGUGACGAAGCGUGAGUGACGGUAAUGGGUAAAGAAGCACCGGCUAACUACGUG
rnacentral:rRNA from 1 species